UGGGGAAUAUUGCACAAUGGGCGCAAGCCUGAUGCAGCCAUGCCGCGUGUGUGAAGAAGGCCUUCGGGUUGUAAAGCACUUUCAGCGAGGAGGAAGGGUGGUGUGUUAAUAGCACAUUGCAUUGACGUUACUCGCAGAAGAAGCACCGGCUAACUCCGUGCCAGCAGCCGCGGUAAUACGGAGGGAGCAAGCGUUAAUCGGAAUUACUGGGCGUAAAGCGCACGCAGGCGGUUUGUUAAGUCAGAUGUGAAAUCCCCGCGCUUAACGUGGGAACUGCAUUUGAAACUGGCAAGCUAGAGUCUUGUAGAGGGGGGUAGAAUUCCAGGUGUAGCGGUGAAAUGCGUAGAGAUCUGGAGGAAUACCGGUGGCGAAGGCGGCCCCCUGGACAAAGACUGACGCUCAGGUGCGAAAGCGUGGGGAGCAAACA
rnacentral:rRNA from 1 species